UUGAACGCUGGCGGCAUGCCUUACACAUGCAAGUCGAACGGUAACAGGUCUUCGGAUGCUGACGAGUGGCGAACGGGUGAGUAAUACAUCGGAACGUGCCCGAUCGUGGGGGAUAACGGAGCGAAAGCUUUGCUAAUACCGCAUACGAUCUACGGAUGAAAGCAGGGGACCGCAAGGCCUUGCGCGGACGGAGCGGCCGAUGGCAGAUUAGGUAGUUGGUGGGAUAAAAGCUUACCAAGCCGACGAUCUGUAGCUGGUCUGAGAGGAUGAUCAGCCACACUGGGACUGAGACACGGCCCAGACUCCUACGGGAGGCAGCAGUGGGGAAUUUUGGACAAUGGGCGCAAGCCUGAUCCAGCCAUUCCGCGUGAGUGAAGAAGGCCUUCGGGUUGUAAAGCUCUUUCGGCAGGAACGAAACGGUGGGAUCUAAUACAUACCACUAAUGACGGUACCUGAAGAAGAAGCACCGGCUAACUACGU
rnacentral:rRNA from 1 species